UCGUGCCACCUCGCCCUCCCAGGGCUUUCUCGUGAGGAGUGCCAGAGUCAGUAAUUGACUCUAGUGCAGCGAAGUGAUUUCCUUCUUCUGCUGAUCUGGAAGCUAAGAGACCCGAUAGAAAAGCAUCAUCACUGUAUGUAUUUUAGGGAGACUGAGUCUCAACAGGGAAGCGCCGUGGCGGUGAGGUUGGAGCUAAGGGUCUAAGAAUCCAGAAAAGCCAGGGCAUCGUGUGUGAAAACCCCUCCCCACCCGUCAGCCCGUCUGCGAGGAAGACACACAUGUGUUAAAUGGACUUAAUUUGACUUAAUUUUUCUGAAAUACGUAGAAGCGACGUCUCUUAAAGAAGGUCACAUCCAUGUGAACAGGAGAAAAGCGGCGGUCUCGUCCGCAGGAUUUACUUGAUGGUAUUAGCGGGGAUUCCUUCCCACCGGGGAUGCUCUUCCCUCUUCCAGACCGUCCGUGUCAAAUUUCCGGUUUCACGGUCAAGUGUGUAUUUUAGGAACCAUGCUUAUGCUUGUGGGUUUCUUGGUUUCUCUGGCUGUAAUGUCAUUUCUGGGAGUUUGGUGUGUAAGGAAUUGCUACAGGAAGUGACAGGUGGCGGGAGGCAGUGUGUAUGUGUUGGGAGGCUUGUGACCAGCACACAGGGCCUUGGAGGGGACACGCAGCUGGGGGCUCUGCCUCCCCCCACCCCCCCACCGUGUCUGCCACCCCGCCCUGCAAGCAGAUGGCUCGCAUAGACUCGUCAAUAACUUGAUUCACACGUGGUCUUGUCAUAUCUGUGCAAAAUGUGUAACGUAUGAGCCAGAUGACUCCGUGUCUUGGUUACUCAGUGUUGAGGUCACUUUGCAGCCUACGCCUCAUGCAUGUUCCGUUCAAAACAAGGAGAAAUUGUAAACUGGCCAGCCGCCCCCGAAGGAGGCUGGAGAAAGACGUUAUUUUAUAUGAACUCCUCUGUACCGAGUGCCACAAAAUCGUAACGCUGCUGAGGGUGACAAGGGUCGGGGGGAGGCGUGGGGGGAACGUCUGUCUGCGAGAUGCUCUCCUGGGGGCGGCCUGUGCGUGAAGUGCCAGGCGUCAUUGUCACCUGCUCAGCCUGGACUUGGUCCUCAUGGGGAUUCGGGGUUACUAGAAGGGUGAUGAGGGAGCCUGUCUUCUUCGGUUCAUCUUCGAGUCUUGAGAAGAGGCUGGGCGUGGGUUCGAGUGACCCGCACUCGGAGCCCACCCUCCUUUUAACAUAAGAAGUGUUGUCUUCACACCGAAUUACUCCUCCCCCAACCUGCCGAGGUUUGGGGAGCUGUCUUUAGGGGGCGGGCUCUUUUGUCCCCGCACUGUGCCUUCUCGCGAAGGGUGAGAUGCGUUUGUGAUCCUGGGGGUCUCAGUGGUGUCCCCUGUGGGUCGCUGGCUGGGCAGGACUGGGUGCCCCCCGCAUCCACCUGCAUGAAGCCCUCCCCACCGGGAGGCAGCAGCCGUCCCCCCUCCCUGCUCUGGGUCUGACCCCUGGAGGCCCCUGGACCCUCAAGGAGGGGCCCCUGGGCUGUGUUCCCUCCCAGCAGAUGGGCUUGUGCUGAAGUCUAGUCCCUGGUUCGCUGCUGCCAAGGCCGCCCAAGUUCUCUUCUGCAGGCUGACCCAGCUGAGACUCAGGAUUUGAGCGAUAGAAAGACAUUUUGGUGUUUGGGCUGAACCAGGGUACCCUCCCCUGGCUGCCUGCAAGGACUGGAGGUGGAAGGUGAAGCUGAGCCAGGGCAUCUGCAGACUCGGGCCCAGAGCCUGGCGCCUGUCCGGCCCCCCUGCCCUGGGAGGGCACGGCCAUCAGCUGGGACUGUCUUACUUUCUGUUAUUUUGUUAGUAAAUGAACUUGAUAAAGAUGGUCUUAGCCCUUUCCGCUUUUCAUUUCUGAAAUUUCAAUCAGUGGUGUUUCAUUUGGCUGCAAAUCACUCUCACUGGCCACGGAGGAUUUUAAAUGUCCCUCCAGGGGUUCCCGUUGUGGCUCAGUGGGUUAAGAACCUGCCGAGCAUCCGUGAGGAUGCAGGUUCCAUCCGUAGCCUCGCUCAGUGGGUUAAGCAUCUGGUGUGGCUGAGGCUGUCGUGUAGGCCAGCAGCUGCAGCUCUGAUUAGACUCCCGAAGGACUCCAGGACCUUUCCUUAUGCCGUGGGUGCCGCCCUCAAAAGAAAAAAAAUGUCCCUCUAUACUUUGGGGCACUGCUGUGUGUGACCCCAAAAGAUCAGGGCUCCUGUGCCCGCCCCAUGGGCCGGGGCUCGGCCAGCAGACGGCAUUGGAUCGCAGGGUGGGUGAGAAGGGAGGGAUGUGGGUGUCCUGGUGCUGGGGAUGCAGACACACGCGUGGCCUGGGCACGCUCUGUGCGGCUCUGUGCGGCUCCUGAGAACUGUGAGCUUUAAAUGGCCCAGAAUUAGCCCCAGAACAAUUCGGCUUCUGUUCUGCUCUGUCCAAUGAAAACAAGUUUAUUCACUUUUUCCGGGAGCUGUUUGCCCUCGUGUUUGUGCAGCCAGGGCUUGUUUAUUCGCUGCUUGAAGUUGCGGUCCUUGGUGGUGUUAUUCACGAGUGGAAUUUUGAAUGAAGUCAAGGCCGUGACGGCAGCUGUGCUCAGAGGUUCCCGGCAGCGCAGGGCCCCCGGGCUUAGGGCUUUGCGGUUUGCAGCGCAGCACGUGGUGACACUGAGGAAUCCGGGCGGGAGAAUGAUGUUCCCCUUGCCGUGAGAGGGGACAGUCUGGCGGGUGCUGGCUGCCGGGCUGGGACCCCCACACUGGCACAGCUGCCAGUGGCUGUCCGCACUCCUAUGUCCCUGAGCUGUGGGGACCAUUGCCCUGCGUCCCUCCUCAGCUCCCAGGACUGUCCCUGAGGGCGGGGAUGGAUGGCUGCCUGUGCGGCAGGAAGAGCACAGCCCUCAGCUCCAGCACGUGCUCUAUCCAGACCCAAAGGCUUGGGGCCCCUUGGCACAGGGAGUAUCCUUCCCCCCCAACCCCAGGAAGGAAGCUGGCACCCGGGUUAGGGGUGUCACCCUUGGGAGGGAGGUCACCCGCAGUCAGAGGGCCCCCGGGGCAGGGGAAGCUGAUGGCUCAGGUCCCUGGUGGUAGUGGUGGCUCAGAAUGUGCCCCUCUUUCUUUUCUUCCUGUCAUGACAGACAGGCACUGCAUGCCACCUUCUUCUAAUACAUUUCCCAAUGACUGCGUCAUCAUUAAACGUGAACGCCAGACUAUAUUUCAGAUUCCUGCAGGUAUAUCUUUUUAACCGUACUCGUAAGUGUGGUUCCUAUUCCGUGAUGUUUUACGAGGGCUGUGAGUUGUAGUUGGCAUGAUUUCAGACUUCCAGAAAGUAUGUCUUUCAGUUUCAAU
rnacentral:lncRNA from 1 species